rnacentral:rRNA from 1 species
UGGGGAAUAUUGGACAAUGGGGGCAACCCUGAUCCAGCAAUGCCGCGUGUGUGAAGAAGGUCUUCGGAUUGUAAAGCACUUUCGACGGGGACGAUGAUGACGGUACCCGUAGAAGAAGCCCCGGCUAACUUCGUGCCAGCAGCCGCGGUAAUACGAAGGGGGCUAGCGUUGCUCGGAAUGACUGGGCGUAAAGGGCGUGUAGGCGGUUUACACAGUCAGAUGUGAAAUCCCCGGGCUUAACCUGGGAGCUGCAUUUGAUACGUGUAGACUAGAGUGUGAGAGAGGGUUUGUGGAAUUCCCAGUGUAGAGGU